GAUGAACGCUGGCGGCGUGCCUAAUACAUGCAAGUCGAGCGAACAGACGUGGAACUUUCUCUUCUUACGUUUUCGUCGGACGGGUGAGUAUAACGUGGAUACCCUCCCUAUAUGACUGGGAUAACUUCGGUAAACCGGAGCUCUUACCCGGUAUUCUAUCCAACCUCAUGGUUCAAUCGUGAUAGACGGUUUUCCUUUUAUUUAUAGUUUGAUCCGCGCCGCAUUAUCUAGUUGGUAAGGUAACGGCUUACAAAGGCAACGAUGCGUAGCCGACCUGGGAGGGUGAUCGGCAAAACUGGAACGGGACAAGGGUCAAAACUCCUAGGGGAGGAAGAAGGGGGGAAUCUUCGGAAAUGAGCGAAAGCCUGACGGAGAAAGGCCGCGUGAGGGAGGAAGGUCUUCGGAUCGUAAAACUCGGUUAUUAGGGAAGAACAAAUGUGUAAGUAAAUAGGGACGACUUGACGGUACCUAAACAGAAAGCCACGGCUAACUACGUG
rnacentral:rRNA from 1 species